CCUACGGGAGGCAGCAGUGGGGAAUUUUGGACAAUGGGCGCACAGUGAUCCAGCCAUGCCGCGUGAGUGAAGAAGGCCUUCGGGUUGUAAAGCUCUUUCGCGAGGGAAGAAAACGCAACGGUUAAUACCUGUUGUGGAUGACGGUACCUUGAUAAGAAGCACCGGCUAACUACGUGCCAGCAGCCGCGGUAAUACGUAGGGUGCGAGCGUUAAUCGGAAUUACUGGGCGUAAAGCGUGCGCAGGCGGUUUUUUAAGACAGGCGUGAAAUCCCCGGGCUCAACCUGGGAAUGGCGCUUGUGACUGGAAGGCUUGAGUAUGGCAGAGGGGGGUAGAAUUCCACGUGUAGCAGUGAAAUGCGUAGAGAUGUGGAGGAAUACCGAUGGCGAAGGCAGCCCCCUGGCCAAUACUGACGCUCAUGCACGAAAGCGUGGGGAGCAAACAGGAUUAGAUACCCUGGUAGUCCACGCCCUAAACGAUGUUAACUAGGUGUUGGGUGGGUAAAACCAUUUAGUACCGUAGCUAACGCGUGAAGUUGACCGCCUGGGGAGUACGGCCGCAAGGUUAAAACUCAAAUGAAUUGACGG
rnacentral:rRNA from 1 species